AGCGAACAAGUACCGCGAGGGAAAGAUGAAAAGAACUUUGAAAAAAGAGUCAAAGAGUGCUUGAAAUUGUCGGGAGGGAAGCGGAUGGGGGUCGGCGAUGCGUCCCGGUCGGAUGUGGAACGGCGACGAGCCGGUCCGCCGAUCGACUCGGGGCGUGGACCAGCACGAAUUGAGGCGGCGGCCAAAGCCCGGGCAGUCGAUAUGCCCGUGGAAUGCCGUCGCCCCGAUUGUGGCGGACAGCGCGCGCCCUCGGCGUGCCUCGGCAUCUGCGCGCUCCCGGUGCUGGCCUGCGGGCUCCCCAUUCGACCCGUCUUGGAACACGGACCAAGGAGUCUAACAUAUCUGCGAGUAUUUGGGUGUCAAACCCGAGUGCGCAAUGAAAGUGAACGUAGGAGCGAUGCGCAAGCUGCAGCUUCGACCGAUCUGGAUCUUUAGUGAUGGAUUUGAGUAAGAGCAUAUAUGUUGGGACCCGAAAGAUGGUGAACUAUGCCUGAAUAGGGCGAAGCCAGGGGAAACUCUGGUGGAGGCUCGUAGGGAUUCUGACGUGCAAAUCGAUCUUCAAAUUUGGGUAUAGGGGCGAAAGACUAAUCGAACCAUACUAGUAGCUGGUUCCCUCCGAAAUUUCCCUUAGGAUAGCUGCAACCGGUUAAGAGUUUUAUCAGGUAAAGCGAAUGAUUAGAGG
rnacentral:rRNA from 1 species